UGGAAGGGUCCAUUACUGAUGACGUCUGUGUGACUCGGAAGAUGUUGUAGCUUAAACUUCAGAAAUUUUACGCGUUGUGUUUGUUUGUUUUUUAAAGUUAAUAUUAACACGUGUUCACAAAUGCGUAGUACGUAUUAUAAGCCCCAGAAUGGCACAAACUGCAAAUAUGCCAAAUUAAAAGGUUCGGGUCAGAUUAAACCGCACGCUGCUGGCUCAGACAUGCCUCAGAAACCACAGAAGAGCUCUCAGACUGCACACUACAUCGAGCUGGGAGGUUAUCAGUACUGGCCUGUACUGGUGCCCAGAGGUAUCAGGCUGUACACAUACGAGCAGAUCCCCCCGUUUCUGAGGGAGAACCCCUACAUCACAGAUGGAUACAGGGCAUACCUGCCCUCCAGGCUGUGCAUCAAAAGCCUCUUCAUCCUGUCCAAUGAGACGGUGAACAUCUGGAGCCAUCUCCUGGGCUUCCUCCUCUUCUUCUGUCUUGGGGUGUACAACAUGGCCUCGGUGCUGCCGGCUGUUGGCGCCUCCAGAGAGGAUUAUGUCAUCUACUCCAUUGGACUCUUCUGCUUUCAGCUGUGUAUGCUGUGCUCAGUGGGUUACCACCUGUUCUGCUGCCACCGCUCAGAGAAGACCAGCCGCCGCUGGAUGGCGCUGGAUUACGCCGGCGUUUCCAUCGGCAUCCUGGGCUGCUACGUCCCUGGAGUCUUCUACACCUUCUACUGUAAUAACUACUGGCGGCAGGUGUACCUGGUGACGGUCCUCGCCAUGAUCCUGGCUGUGUUCUUCGCUCAGAUCCACCCUCAUUACCUGAGCAAGCAGUGGAAGCAGCUGCGCUCGAUCAUCUUCUGCUCGGUGACCGGGUACGGCCUCAUCCCCACCGUCCACUGGAUCUGCCUCACGGGAGGUUUCUCCUCUGAACUCGUCCAGGCGUUUCUUCCUCGGGUCCUGGUGAUGUACUUCAUUGCAGCACUGGCUCUCAUUUUCUAUGUUUCAAAAGUUCCUGAGCGGUACUUCCCAGGUCAGCUGAACUACCUGGGCUCCAGCCAUCAGGUUUGGCACUUGCUGCUAGUGCUCAUGUUUUACUGGUGGCACCAAUCAUCAGGCUUCAUCAUGGCGUACAGGCACAGUCAGCCGUGCCCCAACGCCCCCCAACACGCCUAGAUUGGUGUUCAGCACGCCAGGACUGCAGCUCCGAUGAACCGUCGUCUGCAGAGACUGUUCUGGCCUCGGUCCAUCAGUUUCCUCACAGAUGGACUCUCUCACCUGUGUGUUCAGUACAUCUCACCUGUGAGUCUCUGUGAUGAGGGAGGAGGAAUGAAUCCAGCGUGUGAGAUGACGUUUGAGUACUUCAAGCUAAUAAGAAACAAUACGGACCUCUGCGUCGGACUGACUGCUCACCUGAAAUCACUCAGGCUGUCACCUGCUGAGGCACCUUUAUAAACUCCUUGAGGACUUCAUGUUUGUGUGUAAACUGCAGACAGCACUGAAGGAACGGGUUGGUAACUUUAGUUUUUCUGCCUGGAAAUGAACCCGUGUCCAGCUGUUUCUAAAGGUUGAAAGCUGCUUCAUCUGACAGAUUCAGGCUCGUCCCUGAAAAAGGAACUGAACUGUCUAAUGUCAGUAUUAUUAUACUACAAGUAAACAGACUCAAGAUCUUCUUUAAAAACAGACUCUGAAGUCUUUGUCAGUGGAAAUAAUCAAAGCAUGGGGAUGAUGUUCAGACAGAACAAACCAGAGUUUGACUUUCGUCAGUGCGGACUCUGCCAAGUGAGACGGGCCACAGAUGGUUUCAUAUAAAUGUACCCACUCUAUUUCAUACCUGAAGCUCUGAUUUUUUUUUUUUUUUUUUUUUUAAGCUGCUCGCUUCCUGUUCAAACUGAUGUUCAUUUAUAUGUAAAGAAUUUCACAGGAUGCUUGAAGGGGAACUUUAAAUAUUUGUUAUUUUAUGUUGUUCUGUCGUAAAGAUGUGAGAGUCCUCUCUUCCUCGUCUUUAUCGGUGGUAACUCUGUGGGGUGAGGGUGGCUGUGGGGAUGCUCGUGAGUCUCGUAAAGUUUUAUGAGUCCUAAAACCCCAGGAAGUGUUUCAGUCUUCCAGCUUCCUCGUCUACUUCAGUUCUGCGUUUACUUCCACAUAAUAAAAGAUGGACGUAGCUUCCUGGCCCGCUGUCCUGACCUCAGUCUGGUCAUAAUGAAAAGAUGUCCACACAGGAAACGAUAACAGGAAGUCAGCGAUGGCCACUUGAACUAUAAGCAAACCUUGGCCAUCCCUGCAGUGCUAUGAACGCUGACAUCUAUUACUACAGACUGUUAUUUUCUUGUUUGCUAAAAGGUUUGAGCAUUUGAACAAUCGAAUUUAAGUUUUAAAACCCUAAAACAUCUGAUUUGUCACUAAGCUGGGACAGUUUUUAGAUUCACGAUUUAUGCAUUUCACAUGAACUGCAUUAAUAUUUCUGUGUAGCGUGCGGCUCUGAUAUCUACUGUAAACUCAUCACUUUACAACACUUUUAUUAUGACAAGCAAACUUCAUUUUUGAAAAUGUAUUUUUUCUCUUCAGCUUUUUAAGGACAUGUGCAAUGUUUUCAUGGCUUCACUCCCCAGUGCAGCGCCUCUCUGCUGGUAGCUGUCUCACUCUGGAACAGAAAGCCGGAUGUUUUCUGUGUGACUGUUUAAUGUUUCUAAUGUUGAAAAAAGGGGGCAAUGUUCUCCGGUUUGUGGUUCUGUAUUUAAAUUAUUCAUAAUGAGUUUCUUUUUGUCUUAAUAGACUCAUUUUGUAGGAGCGGAAAGUUUUAUAUGUUGACUUUUCAUACCUGAGUGUCAGACUCUAAAUAAAAGUAACCAUGUGCUGUUUCCAGACGUUUGAGAUGAAACUUUAUUUAUUGCAUCCAACAGCAGUAUAGCAUAAAUACAAUACAAGACUUACCCUGGUGAAAAACCAAAAACAAAGAUGGAAGCGGUCGUAUGAAAUGGUUCAACUGGUGUACAAAAAAAAAGAAAAGAAGCAAAAACAGAGCAGGCUGCUGGUUUCAUUCAAACAAAUGUGCCAACGGUGGUGGAGCUAAAUGCAGUGCUUAAGGCGGUCGAUGUAGAAGCACAAAGUUGUUUAAGGAAGAUUUGAAGAA